AUUGAACGCUGGCGGCAGGCCUAACACAUGCAAGUCGAGCGGAUGAAGGGAGCUUGCUCCUGGAUUCAGCGGCGGACGGGUGAGUAAUGCCUAGGAAUCUGCCUGGUAGUGGGGGAUAACGUCCGGAAACGGGCGCUAAUACCGCAUACGUCCUGAGGGAGAAAGUGGGGGAUCUUCGGACCUCACGCUAUCAGAUGAGCCUAGGUCGGAUUAGCUAGUUGGUGGGGUAAAGGCCUACCAAGGCGACGAUCCGUAACUGGUCUGAGAGGAUGAUCAGUCACACUGGAACUGAGACACGGCCCAGACUCCUACGGGAGGCAGCAGUGGGGAAUAUUGGACAAUGGGCGAAAGCCUGAUCCAGCCACGCCGCGUGUGUGAAGAAGGUCUUCGGAUUGUAAAGCACUUUAAGUUGGGAGGAAGGGCAGUAAGUUAAUACCUUGCUGUUUUGACGUUACCAACAGAAUAAGCACCGGCUAACUUCGUG
rnacentral:rRNA from 1 species